rnacentral:rRNA from 1 species
CCUACGGGAGGCAGCAGUAGGGAAUCUUCCGCAAUGGACGCAAGUCUGACGGAGCAACGCCGCGUGAGUGAUGAAGGUCUUCGGAUCGUAAAACUCUGUUGUUAGGGAAGAACAAGUACGAGAGUAACUGCUCGUACCUUGACGGUACCUAACCAGAAAGCCACGGCUAACUACGUGCCAGCAGCCGCGGUAAU